rnacentral:rRNA from 1 species
ACGUAGGUGGCAAGCGUUGUCCGGAAUUACUGGGUGUAAAGGGAGCGUAGGCGGGAUGCCAAGUCAGCUGUGAAAACUAUGGGCUUAACUUGUAGACUGCAGUUGAAACUGGUAUUCUUGAGUGAAGUAGAGGUUGGCGGAAUUCCGAGUGUAGCGGUGAAAUGCGUAGAUAUUCGGAGGAACACCAGUGGCGAAGGCGGCCAACUGGGCUUUAACUGACGCUGAGGCUCGAAAGUGUGGGGAGCAAACAG